GAUGAACGCUGGCGGCGUGCUUAACACAUGCAAGUCGAACGAAGCGCUUAAGAUUGAUUCUUCGGAUGACGUCUUUUGUGACUUAGUGGCGGACGGGUGAGUAACGCGUGGGUAACCUGCCUCACACAGGGGGAUAACAGUUAGAAAUGACUGCUAAUACCGCAUAACCCGAUAGGAUCGCAUGAUCCAGACGGAAAAGAUUUAUCGGUGUGAGAUGGACCCGCGUCUGAUUAGCUAGUUGGUGAGGUAACGGCCCACCAAGGCGACGAUCAGUAGCCGGCCUGAGAGGGUGAACGGCCACAUUGGGACUGAGACACGGCCCAAACUCCUACGGGAGGCAGCAGUGGGGAAUAUUGCACAAUGGGGGAAACCCUGAUGCAGCGACGCCGCGUGAGUGAAGAAGUAUUUCGGUAUGUAAAGCUCUAUCAGCAGGGAAGAAAAUGACGGUACCUGACUAAGAAGCCCCGGCUAACUACGUG
rnacentral:rRNA from 1 species